rnacentral:rRNA from 1 species
UACGGAGGGUGUGAGCGUUGUCCGGAAUCACUGGGCGUAAAGGGCGCGUAGGUGGCCUGUGGAAGUCUGCGGUGAAAGCCCGGCGCUCAACCCCGGGUCGGCCGUGCGAACUGCUGGGCUGGAGCACUGUAGAGGCAGGUGGAAUCCCGGGUGUAGCGGUGGAAUGCGUAGAGAUCCGGAAGAACACCGGUGGCGAAGGCGGCCUGCUGGGCAGUAGCUGACGCUGAUGCGCGACAGCGUGGGGAGCAAACAGG